rnacentral:rRNA from 1 species
UCUACGGGAGGCAGCAGUGGGGAAUAUUGCACAAUGGGGGAAACCCUGAUGCAGCGACGCCGCGUGAGUGAAGAAGUCUUUCGGUAUGUAAAGCUCUAUCAGCAGGGAAGAAAAUGACGGUACCUGCCUAUGAAUCCACGGCUAACGACGUGCCAGCAGCCGCGGUAAUACGGAGGGGGCAAGCGUUAUCCGGAUUUACUGGGUGUAAAGGGAGAGUAGGCGGCCAGACAAGUCAGACGUGAAAGCCCAGGGCUCAACCCUGGGACUGCUGUUGAAACUGGCGGGCUGGAGUGCAGGAGAGGUAAGCGGAAUUCCGGGUGUAGCGGUGAAAUGCGUAGAUAUUAGGAGGAACACCAGUGGCGAAGGCGGCUUGCUGGACUGUAACUGACGUUGAGGCUCGAAAGCGUGGGGAGCAAACAGGAUUAGAUACCCUUGUAGUC